rnacentral:snRNA from 1 species
AUUGCUUCUCGGCCUUUUGGCUAAGAUCAAGUGUAGUGCAGUACAUGAUAUUCUGAUAAAUGUCUAGUUUUUUCUUAAGCUUCCCUGGAAAAUCCAUUGUAGUCCUUUAGCCAUCCUUUACAAAGUUUGUCUAACUUAACAGGUAUUAGUUGUAGCAAGGAACACUUACUUCUUGUCCUGUAC